GACGAACGCUGGCGGCGUGCUUAACACAUGCAAGUCGAACGGAAAGGCCCUGCCUUUGUGGGGUGCUCGAGUGGCGAACGGGUGAGUAACACGUGAGUAACCUGCCCUUGACUUUGGGAUAACUUCAGGAAACUGGGGCUAAUACCUGAUAGGAGCUCCUGCUGCAUGGUGGGGGUUGGAAAGUUUCGGCGGUUGGGGAUGGACUCGCGGCUUAUCAGCUUGUUGGUGGGGUAGUGGCUUACCAAGGCUUUGACGGGUAGCCGGCCUGAGAGGGUGACCGGCCACAUUGGGACUGAGAUACGGCCCAGAGUCCUACGGGAGGCAGCAGUGGGGAAUAUUGCACAAUGGGCGGAAGCCUGAUGCAGCAACGCCGCGUGCGGGAUGACGGCCUUCGAGUUGUAAACCGCUUUCGCCUGUGACGAAGCGUGAGUGACGGUAAUGGGUAAAGAAGCACCGGCUAACUACGUG
rnacentral:rRNA from 1 species